rnacentral:lncRNA from 1 species
UGAUGACUAAAAGGUUUAGGCAUCAGCAUCAGGUUUCAAAAGCUUGCUUUGUGCCGGGCACAGUGGCUCACACCUGUAAUCCCAGCACUUUGGGAGGCCAAGGCAGGUGAAUCACCUGAGAUCAGGGGUUCGAGACCAGCCUGGACAACAUUGUGAAACCCCGUCUCUACUAAAAAUACAAAAAACUAGCCAGGCAUGGUGGUGCACGCUUGUAAUCCCAGCUACUUGGGAGGCUGAGGCAUGAGAAUCGUAUCAACCCGGGAGGUGGAGGUUGCAGUGAGCCGAGAUGGCGCCACUGCAGUCACUGAACCUGGGCAACAAGAGCAAAACUCCAUCUCAAGAAAAAAAAAAAAGGUUUGCUUUGGGCCAGAGAGAGGAGAAAUGCAAAG